rnacentral:rRNA from 1 species
UACGAAGGGGGCUAGCGUUGUUCGGAAUUACUGGGCGUAAAGCGCACGCAGGCGGCUCGCUAAAUUAGAGGUGAAAGCCCCAGGCUUAACCUGGGAAUUGCUUUUAAGACUGUCGGGCUAGAAUCCAGAAGAGGGUAGUGGAAUUCCGAGUGUAGAGGUGAAAUUCGUAGAUAUUCGGAAGAACACCAGUGGCGAAGGCGACUACCUGGUCUGGCAUUGACGCUCAUGUGCGAAAGCGUGGGGAGCAAACAGG